ACUAGGAAAUAAACAACUCGAACAGAAGCUGCAGGACUCAGACAAGUCAGACACAAAACUAUUUCCGUAGAUAGACAACUGUAAUUGUUUCCACCAGCCAGGGUCCACAUGGACUGUAACGUGCAGAAUCUCAGGCUUGUAGAUGGUUUAAACGAAGCUCUGGAGUUAAUAAGGAUGUCAGCACAACAGUGAGGCGACGUACAGAUACUCGCUGCUGAGGCGGAUGGAGGAUCAGCAGUCAGAUGUGACAGAGGAAGAUGGCGACAGGAGGCCCUGCGCGGUGGGAGAGGAGUCAGACGAGGAUCUAUUGGAAUAAGUCUCCUGCUCGGAUGCUGCUGGACUGACUGAAAAGGAGUAUAUCAUCAGUGGAUUAUAUGGUACAAAACUGCAUCAGUUAUUGUCUGCAGAUCUAUUGUUUUCUUUAUUCUAACAUCCAUCAGCUGGGACGUUGGGUUCAACAAAUGUAUCAAAGUAUUGAAUUCAAUACAGUUUGAGACGAUAAUAUGCUGCAAAUUGUUUGAAAAAAUGUAAUAAUCUUUUUAUUUUUUUCCUUUAAAAUUUAACUUGUGGCCAAUUGAUUUUAAAUAAGAGUUAUUUAUUAACUCCCUAAGGGACUAUUACACAGACUGGUGGCAUCUGCACUGGGCCUUCUGCUUGUGGAUUUAUCAUCUCUUUAAAUUCUUGCCGGAGUAUUACCUCCUUGUGUUUGAUGCAAUGUAUUCAUCUUCAUUUGCUUGAUCGCUGACCCUGAUGCAGAUCGGUAUUCGCAGAGGCCACAUAGAGCACAAUGCUUUUAGAGAAGCAUCACGCUGUUGAUAAGCAUCUUUCCUUGCCCUGGUUUUCACCUCUCAGACAGACGUAUGGGCUUCUGCUGGACCUAUGAAAAGUGAACGUUGCACCAGUCACUAGUAAUAAAAAAAAAGUUAAAAGUCUAAUUUAAUUAAGAAAAAAAUGAAGCAGAGAGCAACAUGAUAGCCAACAGACUACUUCAACAGCACAUACAGCUUAUAAAUACAAUUCCACUAUCAGUGGGAAAGCAAUAAAAGGGGGGAAAGCAACAAUAUAAUAGGACAGAUGACUAUCUUUGCCUUGAUUUCACCCUCCUUUUCUUGAUAAAAGAACUUUCACCUAUAGUACCUCCUUGGGUUUGAUGCAAUAUAAUUUUGAUGCUGAUAAAAUGACACAGGAAGACCAUUUCUCCCUCAACAUCUCUUAAGGUCAUUUUAGCUGCUACGGGGUUGAACCCCAGUGGCAUUGUAAGCCACCAGCGGUGUCACUCACAGAAAAGAUCAGCACCGCUAUGAGCACACUGCAGCAGACGUGCAGAAACAGACAGCAGCCCGAUGUCCUUUGGGAUGAAAGUGAUGCCUUAUGUCUAACAACAUGGUAACUUUGAUUGCUGAUGAUUUCAGCUUCUCGUUAGAUAAAGGGUUAGCUUUUCCGAUGCUGGCUAAAAUACGAUUUACUGCAAACCCCAUUUGCACCAAUGGACAAAGCCUAGAAUUCAAACAAAAUAAAAAUGCUCAAAAUCCAAAGAAUUUGUCUGUUAAUAUCACAAAAUGAUAACUUGUUUCUGCGUGGAAUAGCAUGCCUCGAGUGAAUAAUUCAAAACCAGAAUGUUUUAUAGGAGCAUUAUUUUCCUGGCAGUGUAAUAAAUGCCAUUAAUUAGCAAGUGGGUCCUUAUAAAUGUGUACCUUGAGAUUCAUGCAGUAUUAGCUUGAAUCUGAACAAGUGUGCUGCAGACGAGUGUGUAACAUCCAGCAAUAAUGAAAUAAGCAGUUGUCACACAGUAUGACAUGGAGAUGAGACAUUUCAGAUAUUUUAAACAAGCUAAUUGAUCUUCAGCUAAAAAUAGUCACGUUCAGGCUGGAGCUAUCUACCAAUUGGCUACCUCUCUCUGUAAUGAUUUCCCCUUUCAUGCUAACAUUAACCCACUUAAGGUCAAUUUGCAGUAGAGCUCAGAGUCCAAUGACUCUUAAAUAGACAUAUAGGUCUGCAUGGUGUAAAUAAAGA